GCCAGCAUGGUAUAGUGGUUUGAGCACUGGACUACAAUUCUGGAGACCAGGGUUCGAUUCUCGGCUCAGCCA
rnacentral:tRNA from 1 species